rnacentral:rRNA from 1 species
UUGGAGGGCAAGUCUGGUGCCAGCAGCCGCGGUAAUUCCGGCUCCAAUAGCGUAUAUUAAAGCUGUUGCAGUUAAAAAGCUCGUAGUUGAAUUUCGAGAUCAAAUUGUUGGUCGUGCCUUGGUACGUACUGGCAUUAUUGAUUUCUCCCUUCUGAAGAACCACGAUGUCAUUAAUUUGGUGUCAUGGGGAAUCAGGACUGUUACUUUGAAAAAAUUAGAGUGUUUAAAGCAGGCUAACGCUUGAAUACAUUAGCAUGGAAUAAUGAAAUAGGACGUUUGAUUCUAUUUUGUUGGUUUCUAGGAUCGACGUAAUGAUUAAUAGGGAUAGUUGGGGGCAUUAGUAUUCAAUUGUCAGAGGUGAAAUUCUUGGAUUUAUUGAAGACUAACUACUGCGAAAGCAUUUGCCAAGGAUGUUUUCAUUAAUCAAGAACGAAAGUUAGGGGAUCGAAGACGAUCAGAUACCGUCGUAGUCUUAACCAUAAACUAUGCCGACUAGGGAUCGGAUGAUGUUAAUUUUUUAAUGACUCAUUCGGCGCCUUACGGGAAAC